rnacentral:rRNA from 1 species
AAGGACAUGUGGAGCGCUUAGAAGUGAGAAUGCCGGUGUGAGUAGCGAAAGACGGGUGAGAAUCCCGUCCACCGAUUGACUAAGGUUUCCAGAGGAAGGCUCGUCCGCUCUGGGUUAGUCGGGUCCUAAGCUGAGGCCGACAGGCGUAGGCGAUGGAUAACAGGUUGAUAUUCCUGUACCACCUAUAAUCGUUUUAAUCGAUGGGGGGACGCAGUAGGAUAGGCGAAGCGUGCGAUUGGAUUGCACGUCUAAGCAGUAAGGCUGAGUAUUAGGCAAAUCCGGUACUCAUUAAGGCUGAGCUGUGAUGGGGAGAAGACAUUGUGUCUUCGAGUCGUUGAUUUCACACUGCCGAGAAAAGCCUCUAGAUAGAAAAUAGGUGCCCGUACCGCAAACCGACACAGGUAGUCAAGAUGAGAAUUCUAAGGUGAGCGAGCGAACUCUCGUUAAGGAACUCGGCAAAAUGACCCCGUAACUUCGGGAGAAGGGGUGCUCUUUAGGGUUAACGCCCAGAAGAGCCGCAGUGAAUAGGCCCAAGCGACUGUUUAUCAAAAACACAGGUCUCUGCUAAACCGUAAGGUGAUGUAUAGGGGCUGACGCCUGCCCGGUGCUGGAAGGUUAAGAGGAGUGGUUAGCUUCUGCGAAGCUACGAAUCGAAGCCCCAGUAAACGGCGGCCGUAACUAUAACGGUCCUAAGGUAGCGAAAUUCCUUGUCGGGUAAGUUCCGACCCGCACGAAAGGCGUAACGAUUUGGGCACUGUCUCAACGAGAGACUCGGUGAAAUCAUAGUACCUGUGAAGAUGCAGGUUACCCGCGACAGGACGGAAAGACCCCGUGGAGCUUUACUGUAGCCUGAUAUUGAAAUUCGGCACAGCUUGUACAGGAUAGGUAGGAGCCUUUGAAACGUGAGCGCUAGCUUACGUGGAGGCGCUGGUGGGAUACUACCCUAGCUGUGUUGGCUUUCUAACCCGCACCACUUAUCGUGGUGGGAGACAGUGUCAGGCGGGCAGUUUGACUGGGGCGG